rnacentral:lncRNA from 13 species
CCAAGGUGACCUUGGUGGCCACAUGUCAAAGAUGGAGGUGCACGAAAUGGAAGGAACCUAGAUCCCUGAAUGACUGUGUGGAGCUGAGUCCCUGCAUUGGAUGGUGACAUGAGGGGAAGUGAGGCCUUGCUAUCUUGCCUGGUCUUGAAAUCCUGUGUCCAUGUGACCCUCCAACCUCAGCCUCCCAAGUAGCUGGACUACAGCUCGAGCACCCCAUGCUGAAGCCCCACACAGGCCUGUCCCCCUGACAGAAGGACCCGAGGUUCAAAGCUGGGCACGUGACCAGGAAGACUGCCCAGCAGUGCCCUGGAGAGGAGUGGGGUAAGAGAGGGCUGUGCUGGGCCUGGCUCUCGCGUCUUUACUUUCUC